AACCUUAUGGACCUGCGGGCGUAUACCUGCGGAAGGAUCAUUACAGAGUUCAUGCCCUCACGGGUAGAUCUCCCCCCCUUGAGUACUAUACCUUUGUUGCUUUGGCGGGCCGCUUUGGCUACUGGCUCUGGCUAGUAAGUGCCCGCCAAAGAACCCCAAAACUCUGAAUAUUAGUGUCGUCUGAGUACUAUAUAAUAGUUAAAACUUUCAACAAUGGAUCU
rnacentral:misc_RNA from 1 species